UACGUAGGGCGCAAGCGUUGUCCGGAAUUAUUGGGCGUAAAGAGCUCGUAGGCGGUUUGUCGCGUCUGCUGUGAAAUCCCGAGGCCCAACCUCGGGCUUGCAGUGGGUACGGGCAGACUAGAGUGCGGUAGGGGAGACUGGAAUUCCUGGUGUAGCGGUGGAAUGCGCAGAUAUCAGGAGGAACACCAAUGGCGAAGGCAGAUCUCUGGGCCGUAACUGACGCUGAGGAGCGAAAGCAUGGGGAGCGAACAGG
rnacentral:rRNA from 1 species